rnacentral:rRNA from 1 species
CCUACGGGUGGCAGCAGUGAGGAAUAUUGGUCAAUGGGCGGAAUCCUGAACCAGCCAUGCCGCGUGCAGGACGACGGCUCUACGAGUUGUAAACUGCUUUUGUACCGGGGUAAAAUGCCUUACGUGUAGGGUUUUGUAAGUACGGUACGAAUAAGGAUCGGCUAACUCCGUGCCAGCAGCCGCGGUAAUACGGAGGAUCCGAGCGUUAUCCGGAUUCAUUGGGUUUAAAGGGUGCGUAGGUUGUUUUAUAAGUUAGCGGUGAAAGACCGAUGCUCAACAUCGGGACUGCCGCUGAUACGGGAGGACUAGAGAGCGGAUGAGGCAGGCGGAAUGUGGAGUGUAGCGGUGAAAUGCAUAGAUAUUACACAGAACACCGAUUGCGAAGGCAGCUUGCUAGGCCGGAUCUGACACGGAUGCACGAAAGCGUGGGGAUCGAACAGGAUUAGAUACCCCUGUAGUC